GUGCAGCAGGCGCGCAAACUCCGCAAUGCGCUAACGCGCGACGGGGUCACCCCGAGUGCCAUCCUUGUGAUGGCUUUUGCGCGGUUUACAAAGCCGCGCGAAUAAGCGGGGGGCAAGACGGGUGUCAGCCGCCGCGGUAAUACCCGCUCCGCGAGUGGUGAGGACUGUUAUUGGGCCUAAAGCGUCCGUAGCCGGUUUUGUAAGUUUCUGGGUAAAUCCCACAGCUUAACUGCGGGAAUUCCAGAAAUACUGCAGAGCUAGGGGCCGGGAGACGCAGAAGGUACUCCUGGGGUAGGGGUGAAAUCCUAUAAUCCUAGGGGGACCACCAGUGGCGAAGGCGUUCUGCGAGAACGGGCUCGACGGUGAGGGACGAAAGCCAGGGGCGCAAACGGGAUUAGAUACCCCGGGUAGUCC
rnacentral:rRNA from 1 species